AGGAGCGUAGCUCAAUUGGUAGAGUUUCGGUCUCCAAAACCGAUGGUUGUAGGUUCGAGUCCUAUCGCUCCUG
rfam:Neorickettsia sennetsu strain Miyayama, complete genome.